rnacentral:rRNA from 1 species
AACGAACGCUGGCGGCAGGCUUAACACAUGCAAGUCGAACGCCCCGCAAGGGGAGUGGCGCACGGGUGAGUAACGCGUGGAUAUCUGCCUUUUGGUUCGGAAUAACCCCGGGAAACUGGGGCUAAUACCGGAUGGUUCCUACGGGAUAAAGAUUUAUCGCCAAAAGAUGAGUCCGCGUACGAUUAGCUAGUUGGUGAGGUAAUGGCUCACCAAGGCGACGAUCGUUAGCUGGUCUGAGAGGACGAUCAGCCACACUGGGACUGAGACACGGCCCAGACUCCUACGGGAGGCAGGAGUGGGGAAUAUUGGACAAUGGGGGCAACCCUGAUCCAGCCAUGCCGCGUGAGUGAUGAAGGCCUUCGGGUUGUAAAGCUCUUUUGGCGGGGACGAUGAUGACGGUACCCGCAGAAUAAGCCCCGGCUAACUUCGUG